rnacentral:rRNA from 6 species
UUGAAAUACCACCCUUUAAUGUUUGAUGUUCUAACGUGGACCCGUAAUCCGGGUUGCGGACAGUGUCUGGUGGGUAGUUUGACUGGGGCGGUCUCCUCCUAAAGAGUAACGGAGGAGCACGAAGGUUGGCUAAUCCUGGUCGGACAUCAGGAGGUUAGUGCAAUGGCAUAAGCCAGCUUGACUGCGAGCGUGACGGCGCGAGCAGGUGCGAAAGCAGGUCAUAGUGAUCCGGUGGUUCUGAAUGGAAGGGCCAUCGCUCAACGGAUAAAAGGUACUCCGGGGAUAACAGGCUGAUACCGCCCAAGAGUUCAUAUCGACGGCGGUGUUUGGCACCUCGAUGUCGGCUCAUCACAUCCUGGGGCUGAAGUAGGUCCCAAGGGUAUGGCUGUUCGCCAUUUAAAGUGGUACGCGAGCUGGGUUUAGAACGUCGUGAGACAGUUCGGUCCCUAUCUGCCGUGGGCGCUGGAGAACUGAGGGGGGCUGCUCCUAGUACGAGAGGACCGGAGUGGACGCAUCACUGGUGUUCGGGUUGUCAUGCCAAUGGCACUGCCCGGUAGCUAAAUGCGGAAGAGAUAAGUGCUGAAAGCAUCUAAGCACGAAACUUGCCCCGA